rnacentral:rRNA from 1 species
CCGGCGCACGGGUGAGUAACACGUAUCCAACCUGCCGUCUACUCUUGGACAGCCUUCUGAAAGGAAGAUUAAUACAAGAUGGCAUCAUGAGUCCACAUGUUCACAUGAUUAAAGGUAUUCCGGUGGACGAUGGGGAUGCGUUCCAUUAGAUAGUAGGCGGGGUAACGGCCCACCUAGUCUUCGAUGGAUAGGGGUUCUGAGAGGAAGGUCCCCCACAUUGGAACUGAGACACGGUCCAAACUCCUACGGGAGGCAGCAGUGAGGAAUAUUGGUCAAUGGGCGAGAGCCUGAACCAGCCAAGUAGCGUGAAGGAUGACUGCCCUAUGGGUUGUAAACUUCUUUUAUAAAGGAAUAAAGUCGGGUAUGCAUACCCGUUUGCAUGUACUUUAUGAAUAAGGAUCGGCUAACUCCGUGCCAGCAGCCGCGGUAAUACGGAGGAUCCGAGCGUUAUCCGGAUUUAUUGGGUUUAAAGGGAGCGUAGAUGGAUGUUUAAGUCAGUUGUGAAAGUUUGCGGCUCAACCGUAAAAUUGCAGUUGAUACUGGAUAUCUUGAGUGCAGUUGAGGCAGGCGGAAUUCGUGGUGUAGCGGUGAAAUGCUUAGAUAUCACGAAGAACUCCGAUUGCGAAGGCAGCCUGCUAAGCUGCAACUGACAUUGAGGC